CUCAUUUUAUUUAGUACCUAAAAAAGUCUUUGGGAUACUAUUUUUACCUCCUGGAGGAUCAUAAUGUGAUUGUGAGCCGGCAUGCCAAAUUUUUGGAAAGAGAUUUUAUCUAGGAUAGAGGUAGUGGGAGGAAAAUUCAACUCGAAGAGAGUGUCUCUGAAGAGCAAUGAGUAAUAGAGCCUGUGGAACCCAUUCCACCUCGUAGAUCCAGUAGGAUCAUACGUCCUUUAGAAAGAUAUAUGGGUAUG
rnacentral:lncRNA from 1 species